UACGAAGGGGGCAAGCGUUGUUCGGAAUUACUGGGCGUAAAGGGCGCGCAGGCGGCCCUUGAAGUCAGGUGUGAAAGCCCCGGGCUCAACCUGGGAAUUGCACUUGAUACUCGAGGGCUUGAGUUCGGGAGAGGAGAGUGGAAUUCCCAGUGUAGAGGUGAAAUUCGUAGAUAUCGGGAGGAACACCAGUGGCGAAGGCGACUACCUGGCCUGUUUCUUGACGCUGAGGCGCGAAAGCUAGGGGAGCAAACGGG
rnacentral:rRNA from 1 species